CGUAAAGAACCUACCUUAUAGACAAGGACAACUAUUGGAAACGAUAGCUAAUACCUGAUAAGAAAGAAACUCGCAUGAGAGAAGUUCGAAAGUCGGAGCAAUCUGACACUAUAAGAUGGCUUUGCGGUGCAUUAGCUAGUUGGUAGAGUAAAAGCCUACCAAGGCGACGAUGCAUAGCCGACCUGAGAGGGUGAUCGGCCACAUUGGGACUGAGACACGGCCCAGACUCCUACGGGAGGCAGCAGAU
rnacentral:rRNA from 1 species